CGGCGUGCUUAACACAUCGCAAGUCGAACGAUGAAGCCCAGCUUGCUGGGUGGAUUAGUGGCGAACGGGUGAGUAACACGUGAGUAACCUGCCCUUAACUCUGGGAUAAGCCUGGGAAACUGGGUCUAAUACCGGAUAGGAGCGUCCACCGCAUGGUGGGUGUUGGAAAGAUUUAUCGGUUUUGGAUGGACUCGCGGCCUAUCAGCUUGUUGGUGAGGUAAUGGCUCACCAAGGCGACGACGGGUAGCCGGCCUGAGAGGGUGACCGGCCACACUGGGACUGAGACACGGCCCANACUCCUACGGGAGGCAGCAGUGGGGAAUAUUGCACAAUGGGCGCAAGCCUGAUGCAGCGACGCCGCGUGAGGGAUGACGGCCUUCGGGUUGUAAACCUCUUUCAGUAGGGAAGAAGCGAAAGUGACGGUACCUGCAGAAGAAGCACCGGCUAACUACGUGCCAGCAAGCCGCGGGUAAUACGUAGGGUGCGAAGCGUUAUCCGGAAUUAUUGGGCGUAAAGAGCUCGUAGGCGGUUUGUCGCGUCUGUCGUGAAAGUCCGGGGCUUAACCCCGGAUCUGCGGUGGGUACGGGCAGACUAGAGUGCAGUAGGGGAGACUGGAAUUCCUGGUGUAGCGGUGGAAUGCGCAGAUAUCAGGAGGAACACCGAUGGCGAAGGCAGGUCUCUGGGCUGUAACUGACGCUGAGGAGCGAAAGCAUGGGGAGCGAACAGGAUUAGAUACCCUGGUAGUCCAUGCCGUAAACGUUGGGCACUAGGUGUGGGGACCAUUCCACGGUUUCCGCGCCGCAGCUAACGCAUUAAGUGCCCCGCCUGGGGAGUACGGCCGCAAGGCUAAAACUCAAAGGAAUUGACGGGGGCCCGCACAAGCGGCGGAGCAUGCGGAUUAAUUCGAUGCAACGCGAAGAACCUUACCAAGGCUUGACAUGUUCUCGAUCGCCGUAGAGAUACGGUUUCCCCUUUGGGGCGGGUUCACAGGUGGUGCAUGGUUGUCGUCAGCUCGUGUCGUGAGAUGUUGGGUUAAGUCCCGCAACGAGCGCAACCCUCGUUCCAUGUUGCCAGCACGUAAUGGUGGGGACUCAUGGGAGACUGCCGGGGUCAACUCGGAGGAAGGUGAGGACGACGUCAAAUCAUCAUGCCCCUUAUGUCUUGGGCUUCACGCAUGCUACAAUGGCCGGUACAAUGGGUUGCGAUACUGUGAGGUGGAGCUAAUCCCAAAAAGCCGGUCUCAGUUCGGAUUGGGGUCUGCAACUCGACCCCAUGAAGUCGGAGUCGCUAGUAAUCGCAGAUCAGCAACGCUGCGGUGAA
rnacentral:rRNA from 1 species